rnacentral:tRNA from 1 species
GGGGAUUUAGCUCAGUGGUAGAGCAUUUGCCUAGCGAGCGCAAGGCCCUGGGUUCAGUCCCCG